rnacentral:tRNA from 2 species
GUGCCGUUAGUUCAGUUGGUUAGAGCAACCGCCUCAUAAGCGGUAAAUCAUGGGUUCAAAUCCCAUACGGCGCA